GGUGGUCCAUUUGCUUGGUACACUCUGUAUUGAGAAGUUGAAGGUGACUUUGAUGGUGACGUGUGGGACGAAAAUUGUAUAAAUUAUGAGUGAUGUGCAAUUUAAUCAUGCUGAAAACGAAAUGAUUCUCACGUGCUUUAGUGAACGGUCACUCAUGUUCUGAAAAUUUUGUUGAUAGUACUUCAAAAUAUGCUAAAAGGGCUGGAGGUCCCCAUCAGUGUCGCCAGCAGGUCCUGACGACGCCACAGCCCGACUUCAUCCUUCACCAUAUGGCAAGUGACGACUUAACAGUUCGAGUGAUAAUAUCGCACAAACUUAAGGUAAGUUUGUGUUUCCUUAGAGUUGGAAGUUGGUUUUCGUGUCCUUUACACAGCAGUAUCAUGUACGUGUUGCUAGCCAUAGCUUCUGUCUCGUUUCAUAGAAUUCAUGGCUGAAAUCCUUCUUGCUAGUUGGCAAGGUAACACGAAUUACUUGAUCGACACCAUGCCUAACCCUUCUAGGGUAGGGUAGGUGCCUGAGCCCGAGCCUUUAGCUCAUAAGACUGUCAUUCCCAUUUGCCCCCUUGGGGCGGGGAUGGCAGACCAAAGAGGCCUAGCUUGUGGCUAGGCCUGGGGACAGUUAGUCCCAAAGAUGAGGAGGUACUUGUGCCUCCUCCCAUGGGAGACUUAGGUCUCAGACACUCCCUAAAGAGGGAGCCAAGGCCGGGCCACCACUUGGAAAAGGCCCGGGCCGGGAGAAUACCGGCUAAUCUUUAACUAACUAACUAACGAAUUACUUAUUUUGUAACGCAUUGCACACAGGAAUGUAUGAUUAGCUGCGGAAAUAAGAUAAUUAGUGCCGAUAAAAAUUAGGUUAAUUCAUUUUAAUCGAAACUCCUGCUAUAUUUUUUUUUUGGUGAAAAUUUAAGACAUAUUUUAUUUUGAGUAGUGAAUCUUAACACAUUUUUUAUUGAUUUAUGUGCAUAAUUUAGUUAAAAUUCUGUCAGAAAAUACUUCAAACCGCUUUUUAUGUCUUUCUUACAAAUGCAAAAAUGCAUUGUUUACAUUUUGAAGUUAAAUUUUAAUAAUAAUAAUAAUAAUAAUAAUAAAAAUAACAAUAGUUAGUUCCUAUUUUUCUCAUGUGAAGUAAAUUAGUCUUUUUGAAGAUUAUUUGAAGCAGAAGUUUUCAAACUGGAGUUGUCGCUUAAAUAAGAAUGAAUUUCUCUGACGUACUUUCCGACGCGACUAAGACCACGUCUCGCAAGUUACAUAACACUCGUCUUAUUCAAGACACAUUGGCAACAGUGGGGUGUCUUUAUUGCUGAAACGUGGUCGGUCCCUCAGUCUGUGGGACUGACCACCUCAAAUACUAUUUCUACACGGUUGAUGGAUUGAUUACAUCUUUAUUUCACUACUACACCUGCUGCCUCUGUAACCUGACUGAAGAAGUCGACUGGGUAGGCGAAACGUUUCAACAAUAAAGAUACCCAACUGUUGCACGUGUCUUAAUCAUCAACUUGUCGGUAUUUUAUACUAUGGUCAACAUCUCAUUCAUUCAAGGGAGAGUUCCUUGAUGUUGAGGUGGGCCUCUUGAUGCAAGGAAUUGGAACUGCCUUCCCUUAUUUGGGUUUAAUUACCUCUCAUUCUUUUGACCCUAAAAUAUAAUAAUAAGUACAAUAUUAACAAAGGAAGGGGGGGAAAGGAGACAGCAGCGGGAGCCAAAUUCGAAUCCUCAAAGGAGCCGCAUGCGGCUGGCGAACCUCAGCUUGGUCACGUCUGUUGUAUGCCGACACGACUGUUUAACUUCCUCCUGUCACAUCUCGCAACGACGAUAACCGAAACAAAAUUAUUGAUUUAGCUAAAUGCACUUUAUUUAUGCUGACUCCUGAUAAUGUUGCUCGUCUUUUUUGACUAGACCAGGGUAUACAAAAUUUUAAUCGUCGUUACUGAUAUAUUGGUAAGAUGGGCGGCUGUCCCUCACAUGUUAUAGUAUCGUUCAUUACCAUAUUUGAAGACUAAUGUGUGUAUUGUUUACUGAAAGUCUCUACCGCGAAAAUCUGUGAACGUUCUUGAUGGAUGUUUAUCAGUUUUAAGUCAUAUCUAAUAAAUGGCGGGAUUUAUUCUGGAUUUUUUACCUUUAUUUAAGCUAUGAAAUAUUUGUUUUAGCCAUGGUGGCGUUCGUGUCAUGUUAGUAAUAGUCGAAUAAAAUUUAUUUCAAUCGUGAAUGAAGUGUAUAAUGAGGUAAUUUUAUUAAACUAAAUAUAUAGGUAAACGCUGGGAUAGAAUUUCUUGUACCGCAAGUCAAAGUUCCAUUUAAAGGUUUACUUUUUGCUAGUGAAAUUGUCUUGUUACAUACAAUGUUUUCAAGUCACAUUCACUUGAUAACUUCUUAAAGGUGGCAUUAUACUGACGUCUUCACUUUCUGCGAGUAAAGUUACACUGAUGUGUUCACUUUCUGAGAGUGAAGUUACACUGAUGUGUUCACUUUCUGAGAGUGAAGUUACACUGAUGUGUUCACUUUCUGAGAGUGAAGUUACACUGAUGUGUUCACUUUCUGAGAGUGAAGUUGUAUCACCAUGUUCACUCUGAAGGUAAAUUGUUGCAAACGACACAUUCCAGAUUUAUUUACGCGAGAACCAACAUGACAUCAACGUUGCAGGUUUAUGUUUGGCUUCGAAUAUAAUGUUUGCAGUAUAAAUAUAUUAUCACGUCGGCUGUCAUUUAUCAGUUUUAUCACAAGUGGACGGACAUGACAAUUUAAAUGGCACUCAGCACAGCUUUGUUUACCUUGAGUGCUUAGGGACUCUAGUGUCCAGUAGGCUUUUAUGAGCGUGUUAGAUCAAAGUGAAUUGAAGACAAGUGGGUUUUAUAGUUUGUCGUGCUGUUGGAAUGUAAAUAAGAUUAUAUUUACGAAGGUAUUAAGGGAAGUCAUGGAGGUGGAGAGCAGAGUGCAUGCACGUUGAAGACGCAGUAGGGAUGUUGCACUUCAUAAGGUCAUUGAAACUGUGAUGUUUCCACACUUCUGGCAAGAUGGUUAUUGAAUGAAUGUUUGUGACUGUGUUUCCUUAUUUUGGGUUACAUUGUGUAGGAGACGGCCGAUGUGUAGCAAUUUUUGUUUUAUGAACUUAAUGUCUAGAAACGUGCAGUACAAGUUUCGUUUCCUCCAACUUUAAAACAAAAUCGCGUUCCACACUGAAGUCACCUUUAAAAAGAGUUGGAUAACAGCUCUUAGCCUGUAAAACUUUGUGGAAAAAUAAAAAAUACACUGACUAGAUCCCUUCAAGUUGCGCGGCCGCGUAACACAGAUGCCGCGCACUAAAUAUUCACACCGCGCUCACUCUUAGUAUCAGAUAACGACUUGAGUCAGUGCCUUGGUUAUAUUUUGGUAGUUUCAUUAUGCCGUGUUGCAUAUUCAUUCAGUUUCUUUUAUACCUAUGGAAUGUGGUAACUUUAAAGGCUUUGUAAGUGCUAUAGCGACUGGUAGUUUCUACCUGUAUCGCUAUUUAAACAAUGUUGCGGGACUUGUGCACAUGAUUAUUCUCUCGUACAUGGGGGAUAAAAAAAAUGAGAGGACCAUUGUUGGAUCUAACAGGGCAAUAGUGAUAAAAAGUCAUACGAUAAAGAGCAAGCUUUAUUAAACUAUGAGUUCUUCUUAGAGCGAAAAGUCAUCCCAUUAAAGUUUGGUAAGCAACAUGUUUCUUCACCAGAGAAAAUAUUAGCCGAUAUAUUUUUUUUUUUAUCCAAGAAUCGUGUUUUACAUUGGCGUCCCAUUUUCUCUAAGGAGUCGCCAUUGGAGGAAUUUGCACUACAAUAGUCAGGUAACUCUGACCUGAAACUGCU